rnacentral:tRNA from 6 species
GCCGGCGUAGCUCAGUUGGUAGAGCAACUGAUUUGUAAUCAGUAGGUCGCGGGUUCGACUCCUGUCGCCGGCUCCA